rnacentral:lncRNA from 1 species
AAGCUGUGAGGCGCUCCGGACGAAUGAACUCCCUCAAGAAGGUGCACAGAGUGGUGGCGAGUCCUUUAUUUUAAUGCCAAACUUCAACUUCCUAAGUUUUCUCUUCCAUCCCUGUCUGUGAAGAAUCCGGGGAGUGUGUGAGUGCAAAUACUAGUUUUACCUGCCUGCGGCUGCCACUGCAACGCUUCCCUCUGGAUGAAAACGUCUAGUUGCAGGAAAACAGGCUGAGGGCUCCCACUGAUUCUACAUUAUGCUCUGUGGUAGCUCUGAAGGUGAAUGGCCUUGGAAUCCUGAAAAUCAGCAGUCUAGCAGCCACUGGAGGUGAUGGAACAGUAGUCUGUCUAGCAGCCAUUGGAGGUGACAAAGCAGCCACUUUUGGAGCUCCUGUAAAACCCCAUCCUGAGAAAAGUAUUGCUAUUUGACCUGUAUUGCAGGCAAUUUCUUGAAAAGCUCCAUUCUCAAGAGUUAUCUUUAUUUGGACUGUCUUAGAGCUAGCUCUAUAAAAGCAGCUAUAUUUCAAGUAAAAAAAAAAAAAAUCCGUGGCAACUGUAUAACCCCACAGCAAUCUGAGGCAGCAAUACCAGUCAAGGUAUUGGUGACCAAGUAAUCUGAAAGAUGUCCAUAGGGAACUUUAGAAAGGUUGUACAUGUUCCAGAAAUCAAGAAGUACAUGUACAUGUGUGGGUCUGUGCAUACGGCCUGGAAAGACCUGAGAUCCCAAUCUCUCACCUCUGGCUGAACUUAAGGCUUUGUGCCAUCAGGAAGCAAUAGCUAAGGUAGAGUUGUGAAAUGCCCACUGGCACAUUGAAGAUGUACUUGCAACACAGAGAGAGAGCCCUUCAGCAAAGGUUAGGAGACUGAUUGUUUCUUUAAGAUAUUAAAGAAAAUCUCUAUUUAAUUAUUAAUUAACCAUUAAGCUAAUGAAGGAGAGACUUAAGUAGCCACAAAAAGACUUUAUAGAAUUAGUCCAGGAAAGUCACUAAAUAAACACAAAUCAUCAUUAUCAUCAUCAGCAGCAGCAGCAACAACAGCAACAGCAGACAACAAUAAAAAUAAGCUCCAGUGUGAAGAAUCUGAAUUAGAUUUUUCAUAUUGUAACAUUUUAAAUUUCCAGUUCAAACAAAAAAAUACUACAACGAAAUAGGAAAGUAUAACCUAAACAAAGUGGGGGGAAAACAGCAAUAGAAAUCAUUUGUUAGGAAUCCCAAAUGUUGGAUUUGUUAGAAAAAAUUUUGUGAGCCACCACACCCGGCCCACAAUUUUCUAAUAUGUGUUAAUGCUAUGUGACAAAAUGCCCUGAUUCCUACUGCCAAAGGUUCAACUUAAUGUAUAUACCCCAAAACCCAUGCAUUUUUGCUCUUUUUUGUUUUUUUAAUGGUUGUUGAAGUAAAACAGCCCAUCCUCUUCAAGUCCACCUAUGUUGUUCCUUAGGCAUUCUAUCUUUGCUCAAAUUGUUGAAGGAUGGUGGUUUGUUUCACGGUUUUUUUAUUUGAGACUAAUGAACAUUCUAACAUGAUAAAGGCAAUUAUUACUGUGUAGCCAUGGUUUUCUGAAAAAGAUAUUUUAGAAAUUGUAUUUCAUAUCUUAAAUAAAAUUUGUUUCUAAAUUUCAAAGCUAAAAAAACCCCCAAUCAAGUCAGCAAGUUAAAAGUCAGUUUGGUUGUGUCCUAACAUUUGAAACACACACAUGACUGUUAGUGUGUACACACACACACACACAUACCCCUCAGCACAUAAUCCCCACAAUAUGGCAACGGUCUAUGCAGAAACACAAGAUGAGGUUAUUUUAAAAUGCUUACCUAUUUAGAAUGAAUCUUUGCAAUAUUUCUCUCUUUUUCUUCCCUUAGUGACUUUAUAUUACUGGUUCAUAGGCUUCUAAGUAAUAUUGUCUUUCACCAUUGUUUGAAAAGAUUUAGUCUCUUUCCAAAUUUGUGAAGUUACCAAGUUCAUAAGAAGUUAUGAAGUUCAUAAAGUCUCACAGAAAAAAUAAGUAUUAUCUGCAUGACGUUUUAUAAUUAAUUUAGAAUUUGUUCCAUUUAUAGUUAUAUUUGAAUUCAGCAUUCCCAUUAGGAAGGCUAGGUAGAUAGCCUAGUUUUAAGAAAUUCAGAGCAACAUAAUAAAUAGAAUUGCUACGACUGAAACCCAAAUCUGGAAAUUUUUCGUAUAUAUAUUUUUUAAAUUCUGUGUACCCACAAUCUAGGAACAUUUUAAAGAUCAUUUUUUAGAUAAUUUCCACUACGCUGAUAUUUUAAUUCUUGUCUGUUUGUAGUAAAUAUACACAAAAUAUCAAAAUAAAUCUCUAGGACACAUCUGUUUCCUGUUCAUUGUGCACAUCAUGUUAUAAGCUUUUGGAAUGAAAAUCGACAUUUGAAAACCUCAAGAAAUGACAAUAGCAGCAGCGAUGAUGUUUUUCAGCUCUCACUGCUAAUGUGGGAACUGAUUAUUUAUUUCAAAAGCUUUUAUAAAAUAAAGCAAACCUUGAAUAUAUUCAGCUAGGAAAUAAACCUUGAAAUUAUAUGGUUACCAAUAACAGUAAAUUAGAGUUUCAACAAAUAACUCAGUGAUUUUCUUAAAAAUGCUAAACAUUUCUUAAAUACUUGCCCAGAUUGUUUUUGUUAAUUUUAAGAUGCUUUCAAAAGUUUACACCCAUGCGUGUGCAACAUAUAUACAUAUAUUAUUCUUUCUUUUAGGUAACGCAGUUGGUUAAAGGACCAGAACGCAUUCCUAAACAAGUGUACGUUUUAAAAUAAUCUUAUGUUAUAAGCAGGUUGCCAACUUUUGAUUUGGAAUAGUUUGUUGAAGUUUGCCUUUUGAUCUUAACUAGCUAAAUUAAGAUAGCUUAAAUUAAGAAAUUAGGAAAUCUAAAUUAAUUUAGAUUUUUUAACACCUUAAAAGAUCUAUUUUAAGGACUUGAAAAUUAGAAUUCUUUAGAUGAGAAAACAUGCCUAACAUUCCUUAUUUGAAAUGGAAACUAUUAAUAUUUAAACACAUAUCAGACAUCAAGGACUAAAAAAUUAUGCUAAGGUAAAGAUGAAAUUAUCUCUAUUUCCUUUCCUCUCUUCCUUCCCUUUCUCACUUCCUUCAAGGGAAAGUUUCUGCAGCCUUUGGCUCUUUUUUGUAGAAAUCAAAGAUCCCUCGCUAGGAAUGAAGUCUCUCUGGUCACACACAUAAACAUAUGCAUGUAAAUAUAUAUGUAUGCAUGCAUUUAUAUAUGUAUUCACCUCCCACUCUGUCAGCCAUGUCCCAACAGGUAUUAAAAGUUACAGCAGCAGGAGUUUGGGUAACAUGAAAUAAAGGAGAUGUUUACUGAGGUGUAGACAGAUAAGAGGAAACCAGCAAACCAUCUUGAGUCACCAACUCUUUGCACCCCCAGACCUCAAAGUGCAAAGGAAGGAGCUAGUAUUACCAGUGAGAAUUAGAGUCUUGAAAGGGAGUGGGUGUCCAAUAGAAGCUGUCCUUGUGGAAGGCGCCAGCCAGUGGUUUGAGAUGGGGGAGGGUAAAGUUGUGUGUAGGGUUAGAGGGAGCUAGGGAGGGCAUAAGAAAUGUUUGACAUCUUUCUUUUUCUGCCCUCCAAUAUCCUGCCACUGGCUCCCACUGGCCUAAGCUUCCAGGCGGCAAGGGGAUCCCAUCCAUAUGGAUCAGUCCUCCUGCAACAAAAAGCUGGGUGGAAAAGGGUCCAGAAUGGAUCUAGGGGGCAGUGGCAGCAAAUGGAAAAUAACCAACCCCCGUCUCCAGUGCUUCAUUUUCUCAGUUUGGCUGCCUACUGGCCAGGCAAACUAACCUCUCACAGCUCUGACUGUGUGCUUAGGUAAGUGACCAUUCCUUUAUCUGGGGCUACAACAUGAAAGCAGGCAAGGUCACCCUCUGUCCCGGCUUUCAAGCCCUAGACCUCAUAUUAUGGGUAUUGGUGCUUGGGGGUGUUUUCCAACACUUCCCUCUAAAGUUAGGUUCCCCAUUUCCCAGAGUUAAUUGACCAGGAUGAGUCAAAGUCAGGACAGUAAUCAUCUUGAAGGAGAGAUCCUGGGGGUUCUUAUACAGAACUAGGUAUCAAUUCACUUUCAUGGAGACCAGUUAUUCUCCCAGAAUGACCUUUAACUCAUGUGGGCCACAGUCCUCUCCAGUAACUUCGAUUAGAUAAGGACUUUGGUUAUCAUAUUGGUUCAUACCUCGCAGCUAGUAGAAACUCCCCAGAGGUGCUAAGGUACUCUGUGCUCAAAACAUCAGUGUAUGUAUUCCAAUGAGACAAAAAUUCACCAGGCUAGUAAGGCCCUUGUCCAAAGCUCCAAAAUAUUAUGUUUCUAUAAAAUGAAAAAUUUUUUAUAUCAAACUCAUUAUUCGAUCUUGGUUAACACUAGAGGUUCAGAGCGUAUACACUCUUCGAUGUAUAUAUAUGAAAUAAACUUUUCUGUAUUA